rnacentral:lncRNA from 1 species
AGCUAGCAAAGAGAGAAUGUGUUACUACGUUAUCCCAAGAAAGGAACAAAACUGCACUAAAACACAACACAAAGAAAGCAAAUUUUAAUCAGUUGAACCAGAAGAUAAUCGAUGAAAGACUAAACAAACAGUAAGCAUAAAAAAAACCACGCACCUGGGAUGCAAUGUCGCAAGAGAGAAAAAGAGAGGAGGAAGACGAUAAAGAUAUCAGAAACAACAAUAGAAUGCCGCAACAAAAAGAAGACGUGCCGAAAGGGAGAAAAAGAAGAGUGCCCGCGAGAGAAAAAGGAGAAGAGGAAGAGGAAGAUUUCAGAAACUAAAUGUCGCGAAGAGUUUGCGGUCUACUUAAAAUGAAACUGAGCGUCGGUUUCUCCAGAUAACCGACGUUUAUAUGACUAUAGACGUCAGUUCUGUUACUAAUUCGACGUCCAAGUUAACUUUUCAACUGACCUUUUGAAUCCCACUAGACGUCGGUAACAAUGGGAACCGACGCCUAGGAAGCUGAAAUGAUUGACAUUUGAUUUCCUGUCAGGGAUGUUGACGACAGUUGUGAUGGGGCGCCGACGUCGAUAAUGAUGAACAUCUUUACUUAUAGGCAUAUAGAUGUCGGUGCCCCUUCUAGCCAACGUCUAUGGCCCUCGAAUUUGGUGAAUCUAAUUAAUUACAGACACAUAGAUGUCGCGUGCACAGAUCCCCGACGUCUAAAUUGAAGAUUUUUUAUCUUCCCGCCUUCCAUUCAGGCCGUAGACGUCGCCUGUUGACU